UACGGAGGAUGCGAGCGUUAUCCGGAUUUAUUGGGUUUAAAGGGUGCGUAGGCGGCUUUUUAAGUUAGCGGUGAAAUUUUGCAGCUUAACUGUAACAGUGCCGUUGAUACUGGGGAGCUAGGAUUUGGUUGCUGUGGGUGGAAUGUGUGGUGUAGCGGUGAAAUGCUUAGAGAUCACACAGAAUAUCGAUUGCGAAGGCAGCUCACAAAGCCAAGAUUGACGCUGAGGCACGAAAGUGUGGGGAUCAAACAGGAUUAGAUA
rnacentral:rRNA from 1 species